UGCCCUCCGGUCGAUCCUCGUUAACGGAUUUGAAGUGUACUCAUUCCGAUCGCGGGGCUCGACAGAGUCCCGCGUCGUUAUUUUUCGUCACUACCUCCCCGUGCGGGAGAGUGGAGAGAGCGUCGUGGAGGGAAAG